UACGUAGGGGGGUAAGCGUUGUCCGGAUUCAUUGGGCGUAAAGAGCGUGUAGGCGGCCAGGUAGGUCGGUUGUGAAAACUGGAGGCUCAACCUUCAGAGGUCGACCGAAACCAUCUGGCUAGAGUCCGGGAGGGGAGAGUGGAAUUCCUGGUGUAGCGGUGAAAUGCGCAGAUAUCAGGAAGAACACCCGUGGCGAAAGCGGCUCUCUGGAACGGUACUGACGCUGAGACGCGAAAAGCGUGGGGAGUGAACAGG
rnacentral:rRNA from 1 species